UUGCAGGCAUAGUCAGUGACAGGAGGAUUCCUUUGGGAACACUAAGAAUUUCCACAGAACUCUCAGGGACACAAGAUACCUUGGCAUGCCUGGAAUAUGUUGUGACUUCACCAGCAGCAAUCAGAUGCACAUGCUCCGGGUUUGGCUAUGAUCACUCAGUUUUUGUGGAAGCAAUAUGGCUGAAAGUGGUGAAAACUACAUGGAGGGCUGUCCCAUGAAAGACUCCAAUGGGAUCCUCUAUCCUUAACAUAGGGAAAGGUACCCAAGAUUGAAGGAGCCUGGUCUCUGAAUGACAUUAUGGAACAGCCUUUAUCUGAACUAGAAACAAACUUCUAUUAAACCAAGAAAACACUGAAGUCCUAGAAGAAGGCUGAGCCACACCAUGGAAAGAACUAAUCUCUGAAUGACUAUGGGAAUAGAGGCCCUCACUGCUCUUAAAGACUUCUGGAACACUACAGUAUGGAUACAAGACCUAGAACAAGUAAAUAGAAUUAUGCCGAUUACAGUCAUGCAAUUUUAGUGUUCUAUGAAGUCAGCAAGUCAGAAAUUAUGAGCAUGUUCUUUGCUCCUAAGAGCCUCCCUCUUGGAUCACUCAUUCUCAGGGAAAUCAGCCACCAUUUUCUGAGCUGCUUUACAGAGAAGCCCAGGAGGUAAAGAGCUGGGGGGACCACAGUCCAGCAGCCAGCAAGGAAAUGAAGCCUGCCAACAACCAGGCAAGUGAGCUUUGAAGUGGAUUCUCUGGUCCUAAUAGAGCCUUCAGAUGAGAGCGGGCCAAGCCAACUGUACUCUUGUGAGAGACGCUGAGCAAGAACCACGCAGAUGCCCACUCCCAGACUCCAAGCCCUCAGAAUCUGUGAGAUAAUAAACGUUGUUUUAACCUGC